rnacentral:rRNA from 1 species
AGAAUCAACGCUGGCGGCGUGCCUAACACAUGCAAGUCGAACGAGAAAGGGUAGCAAUACCUGAGUAAAGUGGCGCACGGGUGAGUAACACGUGACUAACCUACCCUGGAGUGGGGGAUAACCUAGGGAAACCUGGGCUAAUACCGCAUAAUACCUUCGGGUCAAAGGAGCAAUUCGCUUAAGGAGGGGUCGCGGCCGAUUAGUUAGUUGGCGGGGUAAUGGCCCACCAAGACUGUGAUCGGUAUC